rnacentral:lncRNA from 1 species
CGGAGACAGGCAGGUACCCGCUGCUCACCCCCCAGUGCCGCAGGUUGGGGGGCCGCCGGGCUCUGCCCCGCAGUGCACUGUAGGGGAACACCUCGGUGCCACUGCUGGAGCUGUAGAUGAUCAGCAGCAUGAGCAGGGCGAAGAGAAGCACGAAGACGGCGGCGCGCUGGCUCGUGCUGCCGCUCAUGUCUCCACGCUGCCCUCAGUGCCAACUGAUCGCCGACGUCCUGCGAGCACCUGGGUGGGGGCACUCAUCUGCAGCGGGUGCUGAGCGGUGCCGGGGGGGUCUCCUCCGCCUCCUCCUCGCCGCGCUCCCCCCGGGCUGUGCGGUGCUGCCGGGCCCCUCCAGCUGGCAGCAGGGCCAUGACGGCGCCCCGGGGUCACAUCGCGCUCUGCUGGGGAAGCGCUGAGCCCUGCCCGCACCGACGGACCGAGCGCGGCCCGAGCUCCGCUCUGCUCCGCUCCGCACUGCGCCGCCGCCGCCGCCGCCGCCGCCGC